GAUGGAAUACCCAAGGAGGUAACACCCCUGUCACUGGGAGGAGGAGGUGUUCGUGUCCAAACUGGAUGACCACUUGAUUUGGAGUUUUGUAGUGACUCAGAUUAAUGGGGAACAUGGGAUGAGGGAAAAGAACAAUGCUAAAAACCCUGGAGUUGAACGCCUGGGCAAGAAUCAUGGUGCAAAAGUCUGAAGAAAAAACAACCAGAGAUUUACUAUGAAGGUAUGAGGGAUUGGCUUAAACAAUUAUGUAUCCUGAGAAAUCCCACCAUCUGCCAUCUGCAAGCUGAAGGCCCAGGAGAGCUGGU